AUAAGUCACUAGGGGUGCUUAUAAGCUGAGAAAAUACCCUUGGAACCUGAACGGGAUAAUACCUGCGCUAGGGAAGUGUUUAAAAGAAAAA
rnacentral:ncRNA from 1 species